rnacentral:tRNA from 1 species
GGGGAUUUAGCUCAGUGGUAGAGCGCUUGCCUAGCAAGCACAAGGCCCUAAGUUCAGUCCCCA